UACGGGGGGGGCAAGCGUUGUUCGGAAUUACUGGGCGUAAAGGGCGCGUAGGCGGCCAUUCAAGUCGGGGGUGAAAGCCUGUGGCUCAACCACAGAAUUGCCUUCGAUACUGUUUGGCUUGAGUAUGGUAGAGGUCAGUGGAACUGCGAGUGUAGAGGUGAAAUUCGUAGAUAUUCGCAAGAACACCAGUGGCGAAGGCGGCUGACUGGACCAUUACUGACGCUGAGGCGCGAAAGCGUGGGGAGCAAACAGG
rnacentral:rRNA from 1 species